GUAUGUGCCUGCCUUUUCAGCCUUCAGAAAAGCAGAGAGAAGCCUAUUAGGAUCUUCCAGUGCAGCAGCCCCCCUUACCCAGCCCAUUUCAUCCUUUGAUUAUUAUUCUAAUUGCUGGCAUUUAAGUACUUCAACCCCCAUUGCAUUCUUACUUCGAAAAUCUUGUACUCAUUUGGUGUUGCCAACCCCCUUGCUUGCAAUUUAGCCACUUAUCCAUUGAAAUAAAUGACAGAGAAUGAGGGCUCUCUGAGUCUGUCUGAUGAGCUUUAAUGAUGAGAUCCUGAUGCUCAUUUCAUCUCUGAGCAUGUCAACAGCUGAAUAUUCAAUUGUGCCACCAGACAAAGUGCUACUCAUAAUUGUCUUCUGAUCUGCUCCAGCAACCAGUUGAGUUCCAGGAUUUUCAAGCUUCCCUCUACUUCCCACUGCUUUCUUCAAUCAGAAGUCAGGGAACACCCAACUGGUGAAAAUGGAUUCCUCUGUUCCA